UUGACUUUUAAUCAAUUGGUCGCAGGUUCGAAUCCUGCACGACCCACCA
rnacentral:tRNA from 1 species